CAGGACACAGCACAGGCAGCGACAGUGUGAACUUUGCCCACACCACCCAUCCAUGUGCCUCAAUCCUGACCUGGAGGGACCACCUGUAGA
rnacentral:sRNA from 1 species